rnacentral:rRNA from 1 species
AGUAGGUCUUAGUGAUCCGGUGGUUCUGAAUGGAAGGGCCAUCGCUCAACGGAUAAAAGGUACUCCGGGGAUAACAGGCUGAUACCGCCCAAGAGUUCAUAUCGACGGCGGUGUUUGGCACCUCGAUGUCGGCUCAUCACAUCCUGGGGCUGAAGUAGGUCCCAAGGGUAUGGCUGUUCGCCAUUUAAAGUGGUACGCGAGCUGGGUUUAGAACGUCGUGAGACAGUUCGGUCCCUAUCUGCCGUGGGCGUUGGAAGAUUGAGAGGGGCUGCUCCUAGUACGAGAGGACCGGAGUGGACGAAUCACUGGUGUUCGGGUUGUCAUGCCAAUGGCAUUGCCCGGUAGCUAAAUUCGGAAGAGAUAACCGCUGAAAGCAUCUAAGCGGGAAACUUGCCUCGAGAUGAGUCUUCCCUGGGGCUUUAAGCCCCCUGAAGGAACGUUAAAGACUAUGACGUUGAUAGGCUGGGUGUGUAAGUGCAGCGAUGCAUUGAGCUAACCAGUACUAAUGAUCCGUGAGGCUUAACC